GCACUAGUGGUAUAGUGGUAGC
rnacentral:misc_RNA from 1 species